CAGAGGGCAGCUCAGGGGUCCUUCAGGUGAAACGCACUUAACGCAAUGUUAAAGCAGGUGCAGAGCUGCUUCUCUUGGGACAGAUCCUCUGUGUGUCCUGGGUUAGUGAUUACCCUGGCCUCAAAAGCUCUGGACCCCACAGCCUGUUCCACCGGCUGGCAGGAAGGUGUAUGAUGCCGCCUGUGGAACCUAGCAUGUGAUGGCCCUCAAUACAAACAGGAAUCCAGACAGGUUCAGCUCAAGCUGCUUCAUGGUCUGGAGAGACCAGAGAGCUCUGAGGAGCAGGAGAAAGAGGAAGAAAGUGAGAUUGCAGAGGAAGAAGAAAGACCAAACAAAGAUGAGGGAGAUGGAGCGUGACACGAUUCAGCAUUUGCCAUUGCCAGGUCUUCAACAGGGAUGGACAGAAGAGGAAAUGGCCACUCAUCAAUCAAAUCUGGCCAGGGGGAAUGGGAGAGAAUGUAGCAGGACAGCAGGGCCGUGGGAGCUGAGGAGAGAACCAUGCAGAAGAAGGGACAGUAUUCGCUACUUUGCAUCUUUAACCAGGUCCGAUGGAGAGAUGGAGUUUUAGCUGAGGCUCUAAAGGAGAGAUCUGCACAUUGAUGGAAUUUGUCCAAAUAACUUCCCAGACAUCCUGGGAGAUGUACAGGUCCUGCUGAUCAGAGUAUGUUGUCCCUGCUCAAGGAAAAGACCACACACUUGUCUCAAGACUUGACUCGUCUCGCCAUCUGAGAUGGUUCAGAAGCCCCCCCACCCCCCCCCCCCCCCCCUUCCUGCUGCCCUGGACCAACACUUACUCCAACUCCUUCUCCUUGUGAAUUAUUGAGGUACCGUCCCACACACAGAAGAACGGUUUCCUGUCUUGGCACAUAUUGGACAAAUCUAUUGGAAUACACAGUUCUAUCCAACAGUGGACUUUUAAACGUUACUGGCUAUUGAGUGUGCACUCUAUUUUCUACCUGACAAUGCUUUUUGUAGACCACAUACAAAGCUAAAUACUUUUCACUCCUAGGUGACUGACAAACAGCCUCUUUUGCUCCACAAGAGCUCUCCAAAACAGACUCCAGAUCAGCCUUAAUGGGCUCCACUCUACACCACACUGUGAUUUGGCAAAUAUGCUCUUCUUACAAACAGCCUCAGUCAAUGACACUCAUGAACCUUGAUCUUAUCUGAAAGCAUUAGACUUUGGACUUGAAGUCAAAGCCGCGUGCCGGAGCUGCAGAGGCCUUGAAUCGGUACAUUUCAGCAGAACUUGAGCGGGUUGAAAGUGUUUUUUUUAUUUUACGUACUAUCGAGCCACAUUAAUUUUGAUACUAACAGUAUGUUGUUUAUUAAAGACAAACAGCCUCUAAGAUCUUGGGCCCCUUGUAAAACAUUUCACGGUGGAGUGUUAUCAUGGCUGCUCUGCAGUAUGAGUCACAUGAGCAUGCUACUAUAGCUCUUUUGAGUGUAAGAGAAUUGGGCUCUCAUGGAGAUAAUACUAUUUGGUGAGGUCACUCAAAGUAAGUUGGAUUAUUACAGGAAACAGAAUUUUCUUUGAAUCUUCUUUGCUCUGUGUUUAUAUUCCUACAUUAGUGUUGCAGUCUUUGCAAACUAGUUCUUCUUCGCCACAAUGUAGAACACAACCAUGUAGUAGUUCCUCUGACAAAAAGGACCUUUUGUCAAUAAGAUGUUAUUGUGUGUGUUUGUUGGCAGUGCAUGGUUUGACACAUUCAUCAAAAAGUAAUACAAUUACUUCUUAGUAUUAUUCAUAUUGAUUUUAAAUAUGACUAGUUAUUUUGUAAGAUUUAUUAAAUCACUUUAAGCCCUGGUUUUGCAUAACAAGGGUGUUAGGAGUCAUGUUGACACAUUGAAUGGGUAUGAAAUUAUCUUGGUUCGCUUUCUUCUCUGCUAUUUUUUCACUGAGACAAAAAAUAAAUCUGAACAUUAAAGCUAUUUUUUCUGUGGUCACAGUGUUUA